GGAUUGUGGCUCAGCGGUAGAGCACUUGCCUGGCAUGUGCAAGGCCCUGGGUUUGAUCCUCAGCACCA
rnacentral:tRNA from 1 species